CACGUAGGGCGCAAGCGUUGUCCGGAAUUAUUGGGCGUAAAGAGCUCGUAGGCGGUCUGUUGCGUCCGCUGUGAAAACUCGGGGCUUAACCCCGAGCCUGCAGUGGAUACGGGCAGACUAGAGGUAGGUAGGGGAGAAUGGAAUUCCCGGUGUAGCGGUGAAAUGCGCAGAUAUCGGGAGGAGCACCGGUGGCGAAGGCGGGACUCUGGGCCGAUACUGACGCUGAGGAGCGAAAGCGUGGGGAGCAAACAGG
rnacentral:rRNA from 1 species